UGGGGAAUUUUGGACAAUGGGCGCAAGCCUGAUCCAGCCAUGCCGCGUGCGGGAAGAAGGCCUUCGGGUUGUAAACCGCUUUUGUCAGGGAAGAAAUCCUUUGGGUUAAUACCUCGGGGGGAUGACGGUACCUGAAGAAUAAGCACCGGCUAACUACGUGCCAGCAGCCGCGGUAAUACGUAGGGUGCAAGCGUUAAUCGGAAUUACUGGGCGUAAAGCGUGCGCAGGCGGUUCUAUAAGACAGAUGUGAAAUCCCCGGGCUCAACCUGGGAACUGCAUUUGUGACUGUAGAGCUGGAGUGCGGCAGAGGGGGAUGGAAUUCCGCGUGUAGCAGUGAAAUGCGUAGAUAUGCGGAGGAACACCGAUGGCGAAGGCAAUCCCCUGGGCCUGCACUGACGCUCAUGCACGAAAGCGUGGGGAGCAAACAGGAUUAGAUACCCCCGUAGUCC
rnacentral:rRNA from 1 species